UUGCUUUGUGCCUUUUUUAGUCCUAGCCGGCGCCGCCGGCGCCGGCGCUUACGAGCACGCAACAACGAUGC
rfam:Venezuelan equine encephalitis virus strain Cabassou CaAr 508, complete genome.